rnacentral:other from 1 species
AAUAUUCUGCCUUGUUCGGGUAAGUAUAGUUAUUCAUAAUCCAACACUUCUUAUUAGGGAAUUCGGCUCCGUUUGCGGAUUGCAGACCUCCCGCUUCUGCGGAAGAAGGGAGCGUGAAACAUUCGGGCGUUUACCCACCUGCUUUGUGCGGGUUUUUAUGUUCUAUAUGACGGCAAGGCGGUUUAUUU